UACGGAGGUGGCGAGCGUUACUCGGAUUCAUUGGGUGUAAAGGGCAGGUAGGUGUCCUAUAAAGUGGGGAGUGAAAUCCUUCGGCUCAACCGAAGAAUUGCUUUCCAAACUAAUGGGAUUGAGUGUGAGAGAGGAAAGCGGAACUCUCGGUGUAAGGGUGAAAUCUGUAGAUAUCGAGAGGAACACCAGUAGCGAAGGCGGCUUUCUGGAUCACAACUGACACUGAGCUGCGAAAGCUAGGGGAGCAAACAGGAUUAGAUACCCCCGUA
rnacentral:rRNA from 1 species